GAUGAACGCUGGCGGCGUGCCUAAUACAUGCAAGUCGAGCGAACAGAUGAGGAGCUUGCUCCUCUGACGUUAGCGGCGGACGGGUGAGUAACACGUGGAUAACCUACCUAUAAGACUGGGAUAACUUCGGGAAACCGGAGCUAAUACCGGAUAAUAUAUUGAACCGCAUGGUUCAAUAGUGAAAGACGGUUUUGCUGUCACUUAUAGAUGGAUCCGCGCCGCAUUAGCUAGUUGGUAAGGUAACGGCUUACCAAGGCAACGAUGCGUAGCCGACCUGAGAGGGUGAUCGGCCACACUGGAACUGAGACACGGUCCAGACUCCUACGGGAGGCAGCAGUAGGGAAUCUUCCGCAAAGGGCGAAAGCCUGACGGAGCAACGCCGCGUGAGUGAUGAAGGUCUUCGGAUCGUAAAACUCUGUUAUUAGGGAAGAACAAAUGUGUAAGUAACUAUGCACGUCUUGACGGUACCUAAUCAGAAAGCCACAGCUAACUACGUG
rnacentral:rRNA from 1 species